rnacentral:rRNA from 1 species
GACGAACGCUGGCGGCGUGCCUAAUACAUGCAAGUAGAACGCUGAAGGAGGAGCUUGCUCUUCUGGAUGAGUUGCGAACGGGUGAGUAACGCGUAGGUAACCUGCCUGGUAGCGGGGGAUAACUAUUGGAAACGAUAGCUAAUACCGCAUAAGAGUAGAUGUUGCAUGACAUUUACUUAAAAGGUGCAAUUGCAUCACUACCAGAUGGACCUGCGUUGUAUUAGCUAGUUGGUGGGGUAACGGCUUACCAAGGCGACGAUACAUAGCCGACCUGAGAGGGUGAUCGGCCAAACUGGGACUGAGACACGGCCCAGACUCCUACGGGAGGCAGCAGUAGGGGAUCUUCGGCAAUGGACGGAAGUCUGACCGGGCAACGCCGCGUGAGUGAAGAAGGGUUUCGGAUCGUAAAGCUCUGUUGUAAGAGAAGAACGAGUGUGAGAGUGGAAAGUUCACACUGUGACGGUAUCUUACCAGAAAGGGACGGCUAACUACGUG